GUGCAAUUCCCGAGUCGUUACCACGCUGAAAAACAACGGACUGUAUCGGGUCGUGAUCACCAAUCCGGUGCAUCUCCACGAACCCAACAAACCCAGUGCCUAUAGAAGAGUCGAGCAGAUUUCAGCCAGUUUCGACUAAAUUAUGAAAUCAACCAAAAGGGCUUUCGAAGGCUGUUCAUUGAUGGGCACAGCUUCAUUCGAAAAGAGGCGCGAAAGAACACCAUUCGUUGGCGGUGUAAACACUACAAUGAUGUGCGUUACAAAUGUGCCGCCCGGGCUACGUCCAUCAAUGAGCCCAAUGGCAAACUUAUUUCCUACAAUGGCGAACACAAUCAUGGAAUCGUAGAAAACAGACACAGACGAAGCGAUCGAAAGCGAGUUGGAGCAGAACGAUGAGCAGAGUUUUCGGAUCAAUGUGUGUUCAUCAAGUCAGAAUUAAUUAUUCCCCCGAAUAAAGCUGUGUGCGAUACUGUGAAACUGUUGUUUGUGUUUGAUUUUGAGUCAAAGCAACUGUCGUUGUACUAGAUGGCUAAUCAUUUGUAUUUUUCUUUUCAGUGAAAAAUGACGUAGCCUAUGUGCAGACAAGUCGAGGCAUACAAUUGUCAAUCAAUGGUUAUUUGUUCAAAGCAUGGAAAUCGGUUAAGAACGUAGGAAUAUGGCAGUGUCUUCAGUUUUCUGAAUAUGAUUGCCCAGUACAGGCUAGUACGGAACGAACCAAGGAUGGAAAGCAAG